CGCGUAGGUGGUUUGUUAAGCGAGAUGUGAAAGCCCCGGGCUUAACCUGGGAACGGCAUUUCGAACUGGCAGGCUAGAGUGUGGUAGAGGGUAGUGGAAUUUCCUGUGUAGCGGUGAAAUGCGUGGAUAUCAAGAGGAACACCCGUGGCGAAAGCGGCUUUCUGGCCCGAUACUGACGCUGAUGAACGAAAGCCAGGGGAGCGAAC
rnacentral:rRNA from 1 species